GGGGUUCUAGCUCAGUGGUAGAGCGCUUGCCUAGCAUGCUUGAGGCACUGGGUUCAAUCCCCAGCACCA
rnacentral:tRNA from 1 species